AACGCGAAGAACCUUACCGGGGCUUGACAUCGGGUGAUCAUUCUAGAAAUAGAGUUUCUUCGUAAGAAGACACCCAGACAGGUGCUGCAUGGCUGUCGUCAGCUCGUGCCGUGAGGUGUUGGGUUAAGUCCCGCAACGAGCGCAACCCUCGUCGUAUGUUGGUCGAAAGAUCUCUCAUGCGAGACCGCCGAUGAGAAGUCGGAGGAAGGUGGGGAUGACGUCAAGUCAGCAUGGCCCUUACGUCCCGGGCUACACACGUGCUACAAUGGGGAGGACAACGAGCUGCAAACUCGCGAGGGUAAGCCAAUCUCUUAAACCUCUCCUCAGUUCGGAUUGAAGGCUGCAACUCGCCUUCAUGAAGUCGGAAUCGCUAGUAAACGCAGAUCAGCUACGCUGCGUUGAAUACGUUCCCGGGCCUUGUACACACCGAGACGUA
rnacentral:rRNA from 1 species